rnacentral:rRNA from 1 species
AUUGAACGCUGGCGGAAUGCUUUACACAUGCAAGUCGAACGGCAGCACGGGAGCUUGCUCCUGGUGGCGAGUGGCGAACGGGUGAGUAAUACAUCGGAACGUACCCAGUUAUGGGGGAUAACUAACCGAAAGGUUAGCUAAUACCGCAUACGCCCUGAGGGGGAAAGGGGGGAGUCUUCGGACCUCUCGCUAUCAGAUGA